rnacentral:rRNA from 1 species
AGUGGCGAACGGGUGAGUAACGCGUGAGGAACCUGCCUUUCAGUGGGGGACAACAGUUGGAAACGACUGCUAAUACCGCAUGACACUUUUGGGAGACAUCUCCUGGAAGUCAAAGCUUUAUGUGCUGAAAGAUGGCCUCGCGUCUGAUUAGCUGGUUGGUGAGGUAACGGCUCACCAAGGCGACGAUCAGUAGCCGGUCUGAGAGGAUGAACGGCCACAUUGGGACUGAGACACGGCCCAGACUCCUACGGGAGGCAGCAGUGGGGAAUAUUGCACAAUGGGGGAAACCCUGAUGCAGCGACGCCGCGUGAGUGAGGAAGUAUUUCGGUAUGUAAAGCUCUAUCAGCAGGGAAGAAGAAAUGACGGUACCUGACUAAGAAGCCCCGGCUAACUACGUGCCAGCAGCCGCGGUAAUACGUAGGGGGCAAGCGUUAUCCGGAUUUACUGGGUGUAAAGGGAGCGCAGGCGGCAUGAUAAGUCUGAUGUGAAAACCCAAGGCUCAACCAUGGGACUGCAUUGGAAACUGUCGUGCUGGAGUGUCGGAGAGGUAAGCGGAAUUCCUAGUGUAGCGGUGAAAUGCGUAGAUAUUAGGAGGAACACCAGUGGCGAAGGCGGCUUACUGGACGAUGACUGACGCUGAGGCUCGAAAGCGUGGGGAGCAAACAAGAUUAGAUACCCUGGUAGUCCACGCCGUAAACGACCCAAAAUGGGUGUCGGGGAGCACAGCUCUUCGGUGCCGCAGCAAACGCAGUAAGUUUCCCCUGGGGAGGUUCGUUGGCAAGAAUGAAACUCAAAGGAAUGACGGGGCCCCGCACAAGCGGUGGAGCAUGUGGUUUAAUUUCGAAGCAAACGACGAAGACCCUUUACCAAAUCUUGACAUCCCAAUGACAAGCAGUGUAAUGCAGCCUCUCUUCGGAGCAUUGGUGACAGGUGGCGCAUGGUUGUCGUCAGCUCGUGUCGUGAGAUGUUGGGUUAAGUCCCGCAACGAGCGCAACCCUUAUCCUUAGUAGCCAGCACGCAGUGGUGGGCACUCUGGGGAGACUGCCAGGGAUAACCUGGAGGAAGGUGGGGAUGACGUCAAAUCAUCAUGCCCCUUAUGACUUGGGCUACACACGUGCUACAAUGGCGUAAACAAAGGGAAGCGAGCCCGUGAGGGGGAGCAAAUCCCAAAAAUAACGUCCCAGUUCGGAUUGUAGUCUGCAACUCGACUACAUGAAGCUGGAAUCGCUAGUAAUCGCGAAUCAGAAUGUCGCGGUGAAUACGUUCCCGGGUCUUGUACACACCGCCCGUCA